rnacentral:rRNA from 1 species
UUUAAAUUUAGAGUUUGAUCCUGGCUCAGGACGAACGCUGGCGGCGUGCUUAACACAUGCAAGUCGAGCGAUGAAGCUUCCUUCGGGAAGUGGAUUAGCGGCGGACGGGUGAGUAACACGUGGGUAACCUGCCUCAAAGUGGGGGAUAGCCUUCCGAAAGGAAGAUUAAUACCGCAUAAUAUGAGAGAAUCGCAUGAUUUUCUUAUCAAAGAUUUAUUGCUUUGAGAUGGACCCGCGGCGCAUUAGCUAGUUGGUAAGGUAACGGCUUACCAAGGCAACGAUGCGUAGCCGACCUGAGAGGGUGAUCGGCCACAUUGGAACUGAGACAC